GGAAGCGUGGCUCAGCGGCUACAGCACCGCCUUGGAAAGGCGGCAUGACUUCGAAAGGGGUCUCGAAGGUUCGAGUCCUUCCGCUUCCGCCA
rnacentral:tRNA from 1 species